rnacentral:rRNA from 1 species
AAUAAAAAAAUAAUAAUAAUAAUAAAAUAAAAAAAAAUAAAAAAUUGAC